CCGCAUGGAAGGGCCAUCGCUCAACGGAUAAAAGCUACCCCGGGGAUAACAGGCUUAUCUCCCCCAAGAGUUCACAUCGACGGGGAGGUUUGGCACCUCGAUGUCGGCUCAUCGCAUCCUGGGGCUGUAGUCGGUCCCAAGGGUUGGGCUGUUCGCCCAUUAAAGCGGUACGCGAGCUGGGUUCAGAACGUCGUGAGACAGUUCGGUCCCUAUCCGUCGUGGGCGUAGGAAAUUUGAGAGGAGCUGUCCUUAGUACGAGAGGACCGGGAUGGACAUACCUCUGGUGUACCAGUUGUCGUGCCAACGGCAUAGCUGGGUAGCUAUGUGUGGACGGGAUAAGUGCUGAAAGCAUCUAAGCAUGAAGCCCCCCUCAAGAUGAGAUUUCCCAACUUCGGUUAUAAGAUCCCUCAAAGAUGAUGAGGUUAAUAGGUUCGAGGUGGAAGCAUGGUGACAUGUGGAGCUGACGAAUACUAAUCGAUCGAAGACUUAAUCAAAA
rnacentral:rRNA from 1 species